GUGGUGUUUGGAUCGUCCCUGCUGGGUAGCUCCGUGCCUGUCAGCCGAACGAUCGGCAGGCGAUCCGCGUCGAUUGCGCGAGGUGGUAUGGUUCCCCAGAGGCCGGUUCUUGUGCUGCCUACCCCUUCAGGGGAAGCGGGCUACUUGAUGUAAGCCUCCAUCCGGCGCCCUCCAACGGGCGCAGGAGGAAAAGGGAGCAUCCCCCACAUUCCACCGAGCCUCCUCGGUUGCGUGGCCCGUGGGGACGUGCGAUGCUCUCGGACCCAGCGAACAUCAUGGGCGAGGACUCAUGUCCCGGUCCCAAGAGAAGCUUCGAUAUAAUGCAUGACGGCCGCUCCUGCCCCCCAAUUGCCCUGGCGGCGUGAGCGCGAGGCGCGCGUCUGCGGAGGAAUGCUACCUGGUUGAUCCUGCCAGUAGUCA
rnacentral:misc_RNA from 1 species